rnacentral:lncRNA from 1 species
UUUGGCCUAAUGCCUUUCACCACAAUGGGAACAAAACAAUUUAUUUUUGGCAAUACCAUGGAGGACCUUGACAAGGAUUAUGAAUAUGACACAUACGAUACCCGCAAUUUCGUUGACACAGAAGACAAUCGGGAACCUCUUGGCACCUAGGUAUUUGUUCGUUUAUGUUUUUCUUGUAGUCCGUCUCUCGGAAUAAAUUUUGUUGCCACAAUUGUUUUAGAAGUGGUUUUUGAAUACACUUGAUAUUUUGUUGCUAAAAAUCGUUCCAGUCAAGAUUGUUUCCCCGAGUUUAGCUAUCUUAUUGGCUUUGUACCCCUGUUAUGUUAGUGUUAGGUGACAAGAACACACCUAUAAUAUUAACUGAUUAGGUUAAAAACUGUUAUUCUCUUGAGAGCAGCUUGAUCCUUGUAAGAAGUUUGAUUAUUAUCAAGCAUCGUAUAAUUGGGAACGAGUUUUAUGCUAAUGAAGUGGGUUUACCCAUUGCAUUGGCCAGUGACGGUAUUCUUCAGAGGCAACUUUCUAUUUCUAUUUCUGCAACGAAAGGCAUUGCCAAAUUAUUUCUAUUUCUAUUCUGAUUUUCUAGUGUUGAAGAUUUUUCCAUCCCAGUAUUCGUUUGAAUCAUUUAAUUAUCAUUCAACCAUCUUUCUUUUGUCAUUUAAUCUGCAUCAUUCGUUAGUUUACAUAAUAAAAGCCAUCCUCCGAACAUUUUUGAAAUGGUGAUGAUUUAAAUCCACAUAAAUAACCCGAGAGUUUAAUCCUAGUAACAAUGUAAACCCUAAAAUUAUAAAUUUACAAUUUAAACCCUAGAUUUUUCUGUUGGUUAAAACAUUGACAUUCUAUUUACAUCCGUUAAUUAUCCCUAACGGAAUAGGGACAUUUUUGUAAU